rnacentral:rRNA from 1 species
AUUGAACGCUGGCGGCAGGCAUAACACAUGCAAGUCGAACGAGUGGCGGACGGGUGAGUAAUGUCUGGGAAACUGCCUGAUGGAGGGGGAUAACUACUGGAAACGGUAGCUAAUACCGCAUACCAUCGGAUGUGCCCAGAUGGGAUUAGCUAGUAGGUGGGGUAAAGGCUCACCUAGGCGACGAUCCCUAGCUGGUAUGAGAGGAUGACCAGCCACACUGGACUGGCGACGCGGUCCAGACUCCUACGAGAGGCAGCAGUGGGGAAUAUUGCACAAUGGGCGCAAGCCUGAUGCAUCCAUGCCGCGUGUAUGAAGAAUGCCUUCGGGUUGUAAAGUUCUUUCAGCGGUGAGGCGUUACCCGCAGAAGAAGCACCGGCUAACUCCGUGCCAGCAGCCGCGGUAAUUC